rnacentral:rRNA from 1 species
ACCUUCGGGUCUAGUGGCGCACGGGUGCGUAACGCGUGGGAAUCUGCCCUUGGGUUCGGAAUAACGUCGGGAAACUGACGCUAAUACCGGAUGAUGACGAAAGUCCAAAGAUUUAUCGCCCAGGGAUGAGCCCGCGUAGGAUUAGCUAGUUGGUGAGGUAAAGGCUCACCAAGGCUACGAUCCUUAGCUGGUCUGAGAGGAUGAUCAGCCACACUGGGACUGAGACACGGCCCAGAUUCCUACGGGAGGCAGCAGUAGGGAAUAUUGGACAAUGGGGGCAACCCUGAUCCAGCAAUGCCGCGUGAGUGAUGAAGGCCUUAGGGUUGUAAAGCUCUUUUACCCGAGAUGA